AUGGAUGCCAGACGACCUGGAUCUCAGCUAAAGGGCAGUAUUCCAGCUACUGAACUUUCAGCAAGUGAAUCUCUUGAAAGUCAUAAUCUUCAGAAAGUGUUUUUUGUGUGUGUAAAAAAUGAACUUUUAGCUAGUCAUCCUCUUGAAUUUUCAGAAGAGAAUUUCCAACUCAACCGAGAUAAAAUGAAUAUUCCCACAGUGAGAAACAUUUAGUGGUUAUUUGCUCCACUAAAAUUAUAAAUCGAAAUUUAAGGCAGUGCAGCAGGUUCGAUGUCUUCCAUUUCUUUUGAGCUCAAACCUUUCACUGGAUAUUUUGAGGGGUAAUGAAGAGACUACCAGAUUUGAAGCUAUUCUUAUCUGUCACAAAGUGAAGUAAUGGGAGAAUGACACUUGGUGGAAUAUAAACUCAGUUUACUG
rnacentral:lncRNA from 1 species